GAUUGUUACGUUAUUCUUAUUUAUUGUUACAUUAUUCUACGCAGAUGGAAACAGAACCAUGUUUGUUUAAGCCCUUUACAAAAACGUUUGAAGUUCCAGCCUCUUCCAACUUUGUUCCCAGUGUUGCUUUAAAAUGGUUUAUUGUACUUUUAUUUCCUCUUUGAGCUCAUUGCUCACAUCUCCUGGCCCUUGGAGGCAGCUUGGUGUGAAUGAUGUUCAGGUGAGACAUUACUACAUUGCAUUUGCUAACAUUUGCUAUUUUCUUUCCAUUCUUUUAUUAAAACACUGCAAAGAUGCUCCACCAACUGUGGCGUGUUUGUUUUGAUGGAAAACAUGCUGCAGAUUAGAAGAUGGUGGUGUCUUGUUCUGCUGCUAUCUGAAGAAGAGAGACUGCAGCAAAGAAAAAGGCAACGAGAGCAGAAAAAACUACAGGAGAAUCCUUUGGUCAGGGAUGCCAUGGCAGCAGCCCGGUGGUGUGGGACCAGAACUUUCAAGGGAAAAAUUUCCCUUCCCCAAGUUGUUACCAUGGCCAAGGAGCAACGCGUGAGGGCAGUGGAACUCCUUUAUGUCUGUGAUGACCAGGAAGAAGAGGAGACCGCUGAUCUCAGAGAACCGUUCCUUUUUCUUUUUAGUCUGCAGGAAGACUAUGAGACAUUCUGUCAAGAAAUCAUUGACAGGAGAAACAUGAAGGUGUUUUGUGGUUUGACAGAAAAGAAUAAAGUUGUGUUCAACGGUG